AUUGAACGCUGGCGGAAUGCUUUACACAUGCAAGUCGAACGGCAGCACGGGGGCAACCCUGGUGGCGAGUGGCGAACGGGUGAGUAAUACAUCGGAACGUGCCCAGUCGUGGGGGAUAACGUAGCGAAAGCUACGCUAAUACCGCAUACGAUCUACGGAUGAAAGCGGGGGAUCGCAAGACCUCGCGCCCGAUUGGAGCGGCCGAUGGCAGAUUAGGUAGUUGGUGGGGUAAAGGCUCACCAAGCCUUCGAUCUGUAGCUGGUCUGAGAGGACGACCAGCCACACUGGGACUGAGACACGGCCCAGACUCCUACGGGAGGCAGCAGUGGGGAAUUUUGGACAAUGGGCGAAAGCCUGAUCCAGCCAUUCCGCGUGCAGGAUGAAGGCCCUCGGGUUGUAAACUGCUUUUGUACGGAACGAAACGGCCUUUUCUAAUACAGAGGGCUAAUGACGGUACCGUAAGAAUAAGCACCGGCUAACUACGUGCCAGCAGCCGCGGUAAUGUA
rnacentral:rRNA from 1 species